UCCAAAUGAAAGGACAACUACCUAUUUUGUACCACCCAUAAGGAAAAAGAAUUCUGUACAUAAUAAAUCAAUCAUAUCCACAGGAAAAUUAAUGUGCAAGUGGAGGAAUAAGUGCACGUUAUGCAAAAAAUUUGAAAAUCAAAAUGAUGACAGUGGAAACGCAACUCUCGCCUGUAUCUCCAGCACGUCGGAGGACACCGAUCAUGAAGAACUCUGAUCAUGGAGAAAACUCUCAUCGUGCGAGCCUUCUCUCAAGAAGUUCAUUCCUCUUCACAAGCUAGUCGCUAAGAAACCACCAUCGAUGGGC